UACGUAGGGGGCUAGCGUUGUCCGGAAUCAUUGGGCGUAAAGAGCGUGUAGGCGGUCCGGUAAGUCCGCUGUGAAAGUCGGGGGCUCAACCCUCGAAUGCCGGUGGAAACUGCCGGGCUAGAGUCCGGAAGAGGCGAGUGGAAUUCCCGGUGUAGCGGUGAAAUGCGCAGAUAUCGGGAGGAACACCAAUGGCGAAGGCAGCUCGCUGGGACGGUACUGACGCUGAGACGCGAAAGCGUGGGGAGCAAACAGG
rnacentral:rRNA from 1 species